rnacentral:rRNA from 1 species
ACGCUCGACACCUACGGGAGACAGCAGUGGGGAAUAUUGCACAAUGGGGGAAACCCUGAUGCAGCGACGCCGCGUGGAGGAAGAAGGUCUUCGGAUUGUAAACUCCUGUUGUUGGGGAAAAAGAGGAUGGUACCCAACAAGGAAGUGACGGCUAACUACGUGCCGACAGCCGCCGGUAAGUACUGAGCGGGCGUGGCAAGGC